rnacentral:rRNA from 1 species
UGUUCCUACGGGGGGCAGCAGUGGGGAAUAUUGGACAAUGGGGGAAACCCUGAUCCAGCGACGCCGCGUGAGUGAAGAAGUAUUUCGGUACGUAAAGCUCUAUCAGCAGGAAAGAAAAUGACGGUACCUGACUAAGAAGCCCCGGCUAACUACGUGCCAGCAGCCGCGGUAAUACGUAGGGGGCAAGCGUUAUCCGGAUUUACUGGGUGUAAAGGGGGCGCAGACGGCGAUGCAAGCCAGGAGUGAAAGCCCGGGGCCCAACCC